GUGCUUGCUUUAGCAUCACAUACAAAAUUGAGAUGAUAUAAGGGAGAUUAGAAUGGCCCCUGCACAAGGAUGAAGCCCAAAUUCAUGAAGUGGUCUGUAUGCCU
ensembl:snRNA U6 U6 spliceosomal RNA